GGGGAAUUGUUCGCAAUGGGCGCAAGCCUGACGACGCAACGCCGCGUGGAGGAUGAAGAUCUUCGGGUCGUAAACUCCUUUCGAUCGAGACGAACGGCCUCCGGGUGAACAAUCCGGGGGAGUGACGGUACCGAGAGAAGAAGCCCCGGCUAACUCCGUUCCAGCAGCCGCGGUAAUACGGGGGGGGCAAGCGUUGUUCGGAAUUACUGGGCGUAAAGGGCGCGUAGGCGGCGACCCAAGUCAGAUGUGAAAGUCCUGGGCUUAACCUGGGGACUGCAUUUGAUACUGGGUUGCUUGAAUUCGGGAGAGGAUAGCGGAAUUCCCAGUGUAGAGGUGAAAUUCGUAGAUAUUGGGAAGAACACCGGUGGCGAAGGCGGCUAUCUGGACCGACAUUGACGCUGAGGCGCGAAAGCGUGGGGAGCAAA
rnacentral:rRNA from 1 species